rnacentral:rRNA from 1 species
UACGAGGGGUGCAAGCGUUAUUCGGAAUAACUGGGCGUAAAGAGCGCGUAGGCGGCUUGUUAAGUCUGUUGUUAAAUUGCCCAGCUUAACUGGGAAACGGCAAUAGAAACUGGCGAGCUAGAGGACAAGAGAGAGAAGUGGAAUUCUCGGAGUAGCGGUAAAAUGCGUAGAUCUCGAGAGGAACACCGAUGGCGAAGGCAGCUUCUUGGCUUGUAUCUGACGCUCAAGUGCGAAAGCGUGGGGAGCAAACAGG